rnacentral:other from 1 species
GACAGCCUGCCUUGUUAGUGGUUUGGAAAAGGGACUUGUUCCGACAAUUGGAAAAUUUUGGGAGCUGGUGUAAAGCAAGUGUUGUGCGCCCUGAUAAAGGGAUUAUGCCUGAUCUUGCUUUCAAGGCGCCCACCUGUGUAAACAGGGAUCAAAGUUUUUUUUCCACACGGCAAGGUGGGUCCUUU